rnacentral:tRNA from 2 species
CGCGGAGUGGAGCAGUUGGUAGCUCGUCGGGCUCAUAACCCGAAGGUCGUCGGUUCAAGUCCGGCCUCCGCCA